GACGAACGCUGGCGGCGCGCUUAACACAUGCAAGUCGAACGGAAAGGCCUGCUUUCCCUUGUGGAUUGCGGGUACUCGAGUGGCGAACGGGUGAGUAACACGUGAGUGAUCUGCCCCCAACUUGGGUAUAAGCCUGGGAAACUGGGUCUAAUUCCCGAUAGGACUGCAGGGUGGUGCCUGUGGUGGAAAACGAUUUUCUAGUGGUUGGGGAUGAGCUCGCGGCCUAUCAGCUUGUUGGUGGGGUAAUGGCCUACCAAGGCGGCGACGGGUAGCCGGCCUGGGAGGGUGGACGGCCACAUUGGGACUGAGAUACGGCCCAGACUCCUACGGGAGGCAGCAGUGGGGAAUAUUGCACAAUGGGCGGAAGCCUGAUGCAGCGACGCCGCGUGGAGGAUGACGGCCUUCGGGUUGUAAACUCCUUUCGACCGCGAGGAAGCCACCUGGUUGGAAGGGUGGUGACGGUAGUGGUAGAAGAAGCACCGGCUAACUACGUG
rnacentral:rRNA from 1 species